rnacentral:rRNA from 1 species
GACGAACGCUGGCGGCGUGCUUAACACAUGCAAGUCGAACGGAAAGGCCCUGCUUUUGUGGGGUGCUCGAGUGGCGAACGGGUGAGUAACACGUGAGUAACCUGCCCUUGACUUUGGGAUAACUUCAGGAAACUGGGGCUAAUACCGGAUAGGAGCUCCUGCUGCAUGGUGGGGGUUGGAAAGUUUCGGCGGUUGGGGAUGGACUCGCGGCUUAUCAGCUUGUUGGUGGGGUAGUGGCUUACCAAGGCUUUGACGGGUAGCCGGCCUGAGGGGGUGACCGGCCACAUGGGGACGGGGAUACGGCCACACCUCCUCCGGGGGGCAGCAGGGGGGAAUUUUGCACAAGGGGGGGAAGCCUGUGGCAGAAACGCCGCGUGGGGGAUGCCGGCCUUGGGGUUGUAAACCGUUUUCGCCUGGGACGAAGGGGGGGUGACGGUAAUGGGUAAAGAAGCACCGGCAAAUUACGU